UGAUUGUGCUCAGGAGAAGUUCAAGACACAGAAGGUCGUCUUCAGUUUAUAAUGCAGCACCACCUCAGCGGUUCAAACAUAUCUGUGGACGUGAUCUGUCGUAAGCAUUUCACGUAGCUUUGUGAAGUUAAAUUAAAAAAAAUAACCGUAAACGAAGCUAGUAAAGUUUUAUCGUCAAGUAGGACACGUGUAAAAUUAGCUAGAGCCAUUUUGUGUUCCCGGUUUAGUAGGAAAGAUAACCGGCUUUGUAAAAUUAGCACACAUUAACGUUGAUGUUGAAGUAAUCAAAAUGCUCGAGUAACACUUCUAGAGUUGUGAGAAAAUUUGUUUAGACAAGGGGGUACAAAGUCAACAUAGCACCGGAAGCUGCUAGCUAAUGCUAACUUGAGUUUUGUGGCUAACAGUAGCAUCAUAGCGUCAUACCGUUUCAGUGGAUUUGUUGAAAAAAUGAGGUUUAUUAGUAUUUUAUGUCACCACUAAAUCAUUUGGCUGACCUACCUUGGUCGACAGUGUGAUGUUUAUUAGGUUUCUCGUUUACUUGUAGUAACUUUGCUUUAGCCAUGUUGACCUUUAAUCAACGAAGUAAGAAAUAAACAACCGUACAGUCUUUACUCUAUUAGUAACAACAAAACCUGUUCAUUAACUGAAAACUGUUUCAAUAAAUGGUCUAAAUUAUGUAUUUGCUAAGUUAAGAUACAGAAAUACUGUCAGUUUGCCCCACAGCCGUAGCAGAUGUAGCUCUAGAAACUCAACUUCUACACACCACAAUGUUGACAGUUUGAGUUCUACAAAUAGGCUGUUAAAUGCUGCACUUCUUUUCCCCUUGCAGAUCAUGGACCAUUUGGUGGACAUCCGUAUGAGCCAGACGGGGGAUGAUGUCUGUGUUUGAGCCUUCAGCAUAAUGUCCUAAAGAUGUCUGUCAUGGCAGUAUCACUUACUGGAGGAAAUGGGUCUGAGACGGAUGAUCCAACAGAAGGACCGUGACCAAGUCUUGUGCAAUAACAUCUUGUAGAGAUGAAACCAGAGAGAGGAUACUGAAGCAGCUGGAAGAGUCAUUUUCCAAAUGGAUAAAUGCAGGUAACAAGCAAGAUACUGCCAAAACCGGAUGGAGCUUGGACAAGUGGAGCAGUUUUUCUUCACCGCUCCCUGAUGCCAAGCAAACCUGCUAUUAAAUGUUUUCAAAUUGUUGUAUUUAGUUUACUUGAUAGUGUACUGGCAGUUACUAAUCUGCCAGUAGCAUUUGUGUUGCACAUGAUGCAUUUAACCAACAGUACACAAAAUAGAUGUAAUAUGUCAAACUGAUGCCAAUUUUGGCUUCCAAUAAAAGUAAAAAAUUACUGAACUCAA